rnacentral:rRNA from 1 species
AUGUGGGCAGCGCGCUGGUUGAUAUGUAUGGGAAAUGUGAGUGUGCAUGUGAUGCUCAUUCCGCUCGAGGUUUUGCCAGAAAAGAAUGUUGUUUCUUGGACAGCUGUUAUGACUGCUUAUACCCAAAAUGAGCUGUUUGAAGAGGCAUUGCAGUUGUUCUUGGACUUGAAAAUGGAAGGAGUCCGACCAAAUGAGUUCACUUAUGCCGUGGCUCUCAACAGUUGUGCUGGUCUUGCAGCUCUGAAAAAUGGCAAUGCACUCAGUGCCUCCACUAUGAAAACUGGGCAUUGGGGUGCUCUGUCUGUCUGCAAUGCCCUAAUUAACAUGUACGCAAAAAGUGGCAGCAUAAAUGAUGCAUGGAGAGUCUUCCUCUCUAUGCCAUGGCGUGACGUGGUCUCUUGGAAUUCGAUCAUAAUAGGCUAUGCUCAUCAUGGCCUUGCGAGAGGAGCCAUGUCUGUAUUUCAUGAUAUGUUGUUUGCUGAAGAAGCCCCAUCCUAUGUGACCUUUGUUGGGGUGCUGUCAGCUUGUGCACAGUUGGGACUUGUAGACGGACUGUACUAUUUGAACACUAUGAUGAAGGAAAUGGGAAUAAAACCUGGAAGAGAACAUUACACUUGCAUGGUUGGUUUGCUGUGCAGAGAUGGCCGCCUAGAUGAGGCAGAACACUUCAUAUUGAACAAUUAUAUUGGCACAGACGUUGUUGCAUGGAAAUCACUUUUAGGUUCUUGCCAGGUAUAUAAAAACUAUGGCCUGGGUCAUCGAGUAGCAGAGCAGAUCCUUCAGUUGAAGCCCAAUGAUGUAGGGACCUAUGUUAUGCUUUCUAACAUGUAUGCAAAAGCAAACCGAUGGGAUGGUGUUGUGAAGGUCCGGAAGCUGAUGAGAGAGAGGGGCGUUAGGAAAGAGCCUGGUGUUAGUUGGAUUCAAGUUGGAAGUGAGGUCCAAGUUUUCACAUCAGACGACAAGAAUCACCAAUGGAUAAACCAGAUCACGAGAAAACUGAGAGAGUUGAUAGACCAGAUCAAAGUGAUUGGAUAUGUUCCAAAUUUUGCAGUUGUCCUACACGAUGUUGAGGAUGAACAAAAGGAAGAGCAUCUUAUGUAUCACAGUGAGAAAAUGGCCCUUGCGUUUGGCCUUAUUCACAGCCCUGAAGGAGCAACUAUCCGUAUAAUGAAAAAUCUCAGGAUAUGUGAUGAUUGCCAUGUUGCUAUGAAACUCAUAUCACUUGUGACAAGAAGAAGAAUAGUUGUAAGGGACGCUGUCCGGUUUCAUUUUAUAGAAGAUGGAGUUUGCUCAUGUGAUGACCAUUGGUGA